ACACCUGUUGUGGUAGAGAUUUAAUAUUAAUUAAUGUAUUCAUCUCAAGGAUACAUACUAGAUCAUACAUACUACCCUGUUUUAUGUGCAAUUCACAGCCUCAGAAAACCAUCUCAGCCUAAUUUGUUCAACAGAGAGAAAGGUUUCCCCAGAAUCAGCGUGAUAUUUAUCAUUGUGUUAUUUUUCUUUUUAUUAUUAUUAUUUAUUUAUUUUUUUCAGAGGGAGACAGAAUCUCAUUAUGUUGCCCUCAGUAGGGUGGAGUGGCAUCACAGCUCACAGCAACCUCAAACUCUUGGGUUUAAGUGAUCCUCUUGUCUCAGCCUCCCAAGUAGCUAGGAUUACAGGUGCCCACCACAACACCUGGCUAUUUUUUGUUGCAGUUGUCAUUGUUUAGCUGGCCCAUCCCGGGUUUGAACCCACCAGCCCUGGUGUAUGUGGCUGGCACAGUUACCACUAUGAUAUGGGCGCCGAGCCAGAUAUUUAUCAUUUUAAUUACAACAUAUAUCUUCCAAAUGUACAUCUCCAGACCUGAGCACUCUCUGAACUUCAGCUUCCUGAAUCCACCUUCUUGCAAAAUAUCUCCUCUUUACGGUCUCUAAGCACUUUAUUUAUUUAUUUCUGAGAUGGUUUUGUUUUGUCACCCUCAGAAGAGUGUUGUGGUGUCACAGCUAAAGCAACCUCAAACUCUUGGGCUCAGGUGAUUCUCUUGCCUCAGCCUCCCGAGUAGCUAGGACUACAGGUGCCCACCACAACACCCAGCUGUUUUUAGAGACAGGGCCUUGCUCUGGCUCAGGCUGGUCUCGAACCUGUGAGCUCAGACAGUCCUCCCACCUCAGCCUCCCAGAGUGAUAGGAUUACAGGCAUGAGCCACCGUGCCCGUCCUCUGUAAGUACUUUAAAUGUUAACUCCCCUAAAAUGCCGCUCUUCUGUUACAAACUUGUAUCUGUCUCUUGGUAAGUGGUAUUCAUCCAGUCACCUAAGGCAGAAACUUGGAAGUCAGCCUAGAAAUCCCCCAUAUCCAGUGAGUCACCAGGCCUGGCCAAGUUAGCCUGGCCUCCUAAGCAUUUGUCACAAUCCGUCCCUCCAUCCCUACUCAACUGCCCUUAUGCAGGCCCACAGCAGCUCCAACUUGACCAUGACAGUUGUCUACUGACUGGUGUAUACUUCUUUUUUCUCACCCUCACCCCUCUCCUAAAUUUUCCAGAGUGAGCUGACAUGUCACCUGGUUAAAUUUCGCACUUUCCAGAAUAAACAUCAACUUUCUUGAUAAUGAUAGGUUAAGUUCAUAUCUACUUCCUUUAUUAUUAUUAUUUUUUUUUUACAAAGUCUCACUUUCUUGCCCCCUGUAGAGUGCUGUGGCGUCACAGCUCACAGCAACAUUAAACUCUUGGGCUCAAGUGAUUCUCUUGCUAAGCUUAGCCUCCUGAGUAGCUGGGACUACAGGUGCUGGCCACAACAUCUGGCUAUUUUUAGCUCAGGCUGGUCUUGGACUCGUGAGCUCAGCCAAUCCACCUCCCAGAGUCAUACCUACUUCUUUCGCUCCAUCUCUACCUGCGUUUUGAUAGUAUUUCACACCUUGCUUUUCUUAUGCCAUUUCCUUUGGCCAGAAUGCCUUCAAGCGUCUUCACCAAUUAAUACCUGCUCAUCCUUCAAGAUUCAGCCUGGGAAUCUUCUCCUUCAGGAGUCCUUGAGUCCCUUAAACUAUGUCAAGUGCCCCUAAUUUGUGUUUCCAUGGCACCUUGUGUAUUUCUCAUCAUAGUGAGAAAUACCCCAGCAACCUGUAAACUCAGAGCAAGGACCCUUCACUGUGGUGACACCUAGUUAGCACAGUGACUAGUACAAAGGAGGUGCUCAGAGUUAUGGCUGAGCCAAAUCCAAGGAAAUGUCAUGUGAAGCAGGGUUUCCCUGACGCCAUCCCAUUCAUACCCCUUUGGUCCCUGAAAGGCACAUGUUCUUUGAAUUUGGAGCCCAUUGCUAUCGAUUCUAAGGUAAAGAAGUGUGUGAUAACAGGGUGGCCUGACUUUCCCAAGGCAAAGUGGAAACUUGCCAGGAUGGUGAGCUUUUUUUUUUGAGACAGAGUCUCACUUAGUGCUGUGGCGUCCCAGCUCUUGGGCUUAGGUGAUUCUCUUGCCUCAGCCUCCCAAGUAGCUGGGACUACAGGCGCCCGCCACAACGCCUAGCUAUUUUUUUGUUGCAGCUUGGACACAGCUGGGUUUGAACCCGCCAACCUCGGUAUAUGGAGCCGGCGCCCUACCCACUGAGCCACAGGCACCGCCCAGGAUGAUGGAACCACACGAUGCUCAGCCUUUGAGUCAGGCUGUUUUGCGUUUGAUGUCCAUCCGUGUGGGGUCAGUGCCUCAUUCCUUGUUACUGCUGCUUAGCGUUCCAUUGGAUGGAGACACCAGUGUUUGUUUAUCCAUUUUCCACUUGGGUGGUCUUCAAUUUUUGGUGAUUAUGAAUAAAGGUACUAUGAAUA